CGGGAAUUCGAUUAGAGUUUGAUUAUGGCUCAGAAUCAACGCUGGCGGCGCGCCUAACACAUGCAAGUCGAACGAGAAAGUGGAGCAAUCCAUGAGUACAGUGGCGUACGGGUGAGUAACACGUGGGUAAUCUACCUCUUAGUGAGGAAUAACCCUGGGAAACCGGGGCUAAUACCGCAUAAGCCUGAGAAGGGAAAGCAGAAAUGCGCUGAGAGAGGAGCCCGCGGCCGAUUAGCUAGUUGGUGAGGUAAGAGCCCACCAAGGCAGAGAUCGGUAGCCGGCCUGAGAGGGCACACGGCCACACUGGCACUGAAACACGGGCCAGACUCCUACGGGAGGCAGCAGUGGGGAAUCUUGCACAAUGGGGGAAACCCUGAUGCAGCGACGCCGCGUGAGCGAUGAAGCCCUUCGGGGUGUAAAGCUCUUUCGGCAGGGAAGAUAGUGACGGUACCUGCAGAAGCAGCUGCGGCUAACUACGUGCCAGCAGCCGCGGUAAUACGUAGGCAGCAAGCGUUGUUCGGAGUUACUGGGCGUAAAGGGUGUGUAGGCGGUUCUUUAAGUUUGUUGUGAAAUCUCCCGGCUUAACCGGGAGGGUGCGGCGAAUACUGAGGGACUAGAGUACGGGAGAGGAAAGUGGAAUUCCUGGUGUAGCGGUGAAAUGCGUAGAUAUCAGGANGAACACCGGUGGUGUAGACGGCUUUCUGGACCGUAACUGACGCUGAGACACGAAAGCGUGGGUAGCAAACAGGANNAGAUACCCUGGUAGUCCACGCCCUAAACGAUGCAUAUUUGGUGUGGGCAG
rnacentral:rRNA from 1 species